UCAACUGCUACCAUUUAUUGCAGUAAAUAGCUGAUAUGAAUACAGUGUCAUAUUGCCAGGAGUUACCAAUAAAUCAGCGGUUGUGGUAGGUUCAGGUUCAUCAUCAACCUCAGCUGCAGGAUGAUGGGGUUCUUCUGGAGGUUCAGGAGCAGUUCUAGGGGCUUCUCUGAUGUACUCUUCCAUUGUUCCAAGAAAUGAUGACGGCGGCUGAAGAAAGUACAGAGAAGUCCAUUUGGCAUUAGAAUUCUCAGUGAAAACAAAACAAUGAUAGGCUAAGAUAAAGGAAUUCAGAUUGGAUUGGGAGCUGACCCAGCGGGGUGGAGUCGUCCUUGAAGCUGGACAUCUGCAGGCAAUGGCCGCCGCGGCCGCGCCGGUAGCUGAGAAGCU